AUGGACCAGCAUCUCUGCUCCAGAAGGAAAACGCCCCUGAGCAAACCAGAGCUGGCGGGCCUGACGAUGGUCAGCCUCACCAUCCCCGAUUCCCACCCACCCCGCACCUCGGAGGGGUUAGGCGCACCCCACAUCCCACACCACCAGUUCCCCAUGUGCUGCCUCAAGCGAAUUGGGGUUCUGACCUCUGUGUACCAGAAAGAGCUGGAGGGCCCCAAGGCCACCGUCCACUGGCAUCCAGCCAGCGGCUCUGGGAGCUCCCUCCCUCGGGACAGGUGCGGCGAUGGCUCAAAGGCACAAGAGACCCCACUCUAUGAGGACCUACACAAGGAGCUGCCAGGAAUGGACACCCUCACGCAUAGCAGUCCUCGCCUGGAUCUGGAUGCAGACCCUGAUCCUAAGCGAGACCGCCUGCACGAGAUGGGGCCACCCUCUGGGGCAGCCCCACCCCGCACCUGGUACACCUGUGGGCCCCAGUGCCGAGCCCCAGGUCUGACAGGUGGGUCCAUGCCCUCCAGGGCCCACUGUCAGAUACACGAGGGAAUCGGGCAGGGAGCCCAAAAAAGCUGGAAGAGAAGCAGCUCUUGGGCCAUCUCGGAAGGGGUUUCUGUGGCCCUCGGCACGGGGCCGGCUCACUGUGCCUAUGCUUACUUAGAGCACCGGGGCCGGGGCACCCUGGUCACCGUCUCCUCAGAGAGUCAGUCCUCCCCAAAUCUCUUCCCCCUGGUCUCCUGUGGGAGCUCCCCGCACGAUGAGAGCCUGGUGGCCAUGGGCUGCCUGGCCCGGGACUUCCUGCCCAAGUCCAUCAGCUUUUCCUGGACCUACAAGAACAACACCGAGGUCAGAGCCCAGGAUAUCAAGACCUUCCCCACGGUCCUGAGAGAGGGCAAGUACGUGGCCACUUCCCAGGUGCUCCUGCCCUCUGCGGAUGUCCUGCAGAUGUCUGAGGCACUCCUGGUGUGCAGUGUCAAACACCCCAACGGCGACAAGAAGGUGGAAGUGCUAGCCGGAGAGCUCUCUGUAGAGCCCCCAAACGUGAGCAUCUUCCUCCCUCCCCGCGACGCCUUCUCCAAAACCACCAAGCGCACAUCCCAGCUCAUCUGCCAGGCCACAGACUUCAGCCCCAAGCAGAUCUCCGUGUCCUGGCUGCGUGAGGGAAAGCUGCUGGAGUCUGGCUUCACCACGGACCCGGUGCAGGCCCAGCCCAAAGAGUCCGGGCCCACCACCUUCAGUGUCAUCAGCAGGCUGACCAUCACCGAGAGCGACUGGCUCAGCCAGAGCGUGUUCACUUGCUAUGUGGAACACAAAGCGAAGUCUGUCGAGAAGAACGUGUCCUCCGUGUGUGGCAUCAAUCCAUCCACCCCUAUCAGAAUCUUCGCCAUCCCCCCAUCCUUUGUCGGCAUCUUCCUCACCAAGUCAGCCAAGCUGUCCUGCCAGGUCACAAACCUGGCCACCUAUGACAGCCUCACCAUCUCCUGGACCCACCGGAAUGGUGAAGUUCUGAAAACCCACACCAACAUCUCUGAGAGGCACCCCAAUGACACCUUCAGUGCCCUGGGCGAGGCCACCGUCUGCCUGGAGGACUGGGAGUCAGGGGACGACUUCACAUGCACAGUGACCCACACGGAUCUGCCAUCUCCACUGAAGCAGACCAUCUCCAGGCUCAAGAAGGUCAACAAGCAACAGCCCUCCGUGUACGUGCUGCCACCAGCCAGGGAAGAGCUGAGCCUUCGGGAGUGGGCCUCGGUCACCUGCCUGGUGAAGGGCUUCUCACCCCCAGAUGUGUUUGUGCAGUGGAUGCAUAGGGGGGAGCCCUUGUCCUCUGACAAGUAUGUGACCAGCCCCCCAACGCCCGAGCCCCAGACCCCGGGCUUGUACUUCGUCCACAGCGUCCUGACUGUGAGAGAGGAGGACUGGAGUGCCGGGGAGGCGUACACCUGUGUCGUGGGCCACGAGGCCCUGCCCCACGUGGUGACCGAGAAGACCGUGGACAAGUCCACUGAGGGGGAGGUGAGUGCCGAGGAGGAGGGCUUCGAGAACCUGUCGGCCAUGGCCUCCACCUUCAUCGUCCUGUUCCUCCUGAGCCUCUUCUACAGCACCACCGUCACCCUGUUCAAGGUGAAAUGACCCACCAACGAAGAGCAUGGGAGACCAGAGACGAACCCAAAAGGGCUGCCGCCUUCGGGCCUGGGGUCCCCAGCCUGUGUGGCCUGUCGACUUGUCCUUAAAUCUCCCCAUGUUGCCCUCCAGCUUCCAGCUCUAAGAAACAGGCUUCUCUCAACAGGCCAGAGGCCAGGGCCGUGUGUGGAGCUGCAGCCGUGGGCUCUGCCCAAAGUUAUUGCUUCGCAAUGUACGCACUUGUCACCUCGAAUAAAUGUAUAUAUUGGUUC